GACGAACGCUGGCGGCGUGCUUAACACAUGCAAGUCGAGAGGAGCGGCGAACGGGUGAGUAACGCGUGAGUAACUGCCCCCCUCUCUGGGAUAACAGUUGGAAACGGCUGCUAAUACCGGAUAGUGGGGGAUGACUCGCGUCCUAUCAGCUUGGUGGUGGGGUAGUGGCCUACCAAGGCGACGACGGGUAGCCGGCCUGAGAGGGCGACCGGCCAAACUGGGCUGUGAUACGGCCCCAACUCCUACGGGAGGCAGCAGUUGGGACUAUUGCACAAUGGGUGCAACACUGAUGCAGCAACGCCGCGUGCGGGAUGCCUGACUUCGGGUUGUAACCCGCUUUCAGCCAUGACGCGGUUGUGGCAGAAGAAGCACCGGCUAACUACGUGCCAGCAGCCGCGGUAAUAC
rnacentral:rRNA from 1 species